UUCCUCUUCUCUCGGAAGCUAUUGGAAGAAAUGGAUUAGAAAAUUGAAAAAUAUAAAAGACAGAAUCAAGGUGUGUGAAAAACGUAGUGUUUACCGAAGAAGCCAGUCUUCCGGGGUUCGGUGAAAGAACACACAUCGCUACCAUCGACAGCAUCGCGGUCUUGGAGAAUCCUGGGGGAAGAUUGUAAGAAGAGCUCAGAGUCACAGAAGCUGAUAGAGGAUGAUGCAAGUUUGCUGAAUGGUUGACAUACAGUCUCGGUUCUCUGAGACAUCGAUCCCUACUGGUGUCUGCUCAACUCCACAGGGGACCACGGAGCUUUCUUAGAAACCGGACAUCUGAUAGACGGAAGUUGAGCCUGUGAACUCGAAGUUUUUGAAGUAACGUGGAGCAGAAGGACUUGCAGAAGGACUUGAAAAGAGUGUAGGACUUGCAGCCAAUUGAGUGUGACUCAUAUGCCAGGCUUUGGGUGAUGAAACUGACGCUUACUGUAAGCUAGAUCCUGUUAUAAGAGCUUUUCAUAUAUUAGCUCCUCCUCAAUCUACCCCCAAAUUCUAUGAGGUAAGGUUACUAUGUUUCUCUCCAUUUUAAAGUCAUAGAAACAGAGGCACAGAGAAGUUAGAAAACUUGCCCCAGUCCACCUAGCUAGGAAUUAGAACUGGGAUUCAAACCUAUGCAGUCUGGCUCAAUGCCUACAUAUUUAACUGUUGCCUCUCUGUCUCCCCUCUACUUUAUCUCAUCUAAUCCUCAUAAGAACUCUGUAGUGCAGCCACCAUUACCCACACUUCACAUGUGAGGUUACAAAGCAAACUCAAAUUUACCUGCUUAUAAGCUGAGUGUUCAGGCCUUGGGACCAGGUUUCUCCAAAAAAGCAGAAAAAAAGAAAAAAAGUCAGAAUCCUAUUUUAAAGAGGGACCUGAAUUUAAGCUGCGGUUAUAAUGCCUUAUACAAGCUCUGGGACCUCAUGUCAUGCACUUAUCCUACUGGCAAUUUGCUUUCCUUAUCCAUAAAGUGGACAUGACGAUACAGCUCUGCCUGCUUCGUGGGUUUGAGGACAGGAGUGGGUGAAGUAAUAGAACAGGUGAAAGCUUGUUUCUUUCCAGUGUCCUUGGCAGUGAGUAAGGGAGUGUGUUUGGAUCAUUUCCCUUUUACAUUUUCAGAGAGACAAUAUAGUGAGCUGCAACGUGGAAGAGUUACUGUCCUUUCGUGAACAUGGAAGUUACUUCCCAGGAGGGACUUGGGUACUGAAGUACUUGGAUUUGCUUCAUCAAUCUGAGUGGUGGAGGAUUUUCUAAUUUUUCUGACCUUGCUUGGGAGCCCAGGCUCAGGUAGAACCUGGAGGAAAAAAG